AACGAACGCUGGCGGCGUGCCUAACACAUGCAAGUCGAACGGAAUUAGAGAGCUUGCUCUUUGAUUUAGUGGCGCACGGGUGAGUAACGCGUAGAUAAUCUGCCUGACGAUCUGGGAUAACACUUCGAAAGAGGUGCUAAUACCGGAUAAGCCCACGGGUUCUUUGGAAUCUGCGGGAAAAGGGGGGGACCUUCGGGCCUUCUGUCGUCAGAUGAGUCUGCGUACCAUUAGCUAGUUGGUAGGGUAAAGGCCUACCAAGGCGACGAUGGUUAGCUGGUCUGAGAGGAUGAUCAGCCACACUGGGACUGAGACACGGUCCAGACUACUACGGGAGGCAGCAGUGGGGAAUUUUGCGCAAUGGGCGAAAGCCUGACGCAGCAACGCCGCGUGAGUGAUGAAGGCUUUCGGGUCGUAAAGCUCUGUCAAUGGGAAAGAAGUGUAUUUUGGCUAAUAUCCUUAAUACUUGACGGUACCCAUAAAGGAAGCACCGGCUAACUCCGUGCCAGCCGCCGCCGUAA
rnacentral:rRNA from 1 species